GCCGGGUGCAGUGGUGCAUGCCUGUCAUCCCAGCGGCUCAGGAGGCCGAGGCAGGAGGAUCUCAAGUUCAAAGCCAGCCUCAGCAACUUAGUGAGGCCUUAAGCAACUCAGCGAGACCCUGUCUCUA
rnacentral:sRNA from 1 species